AAAACAGAUCUUCAAGAUUAAAGAAAUCAAGAAUCAUCAUUCUUCAAAAAAGUGAUGCAGAAAAUCCAUUUUUUCUGUUAAAGAGCAAAAGCCUUAAAAAAAUUUCUUUCUUGAGCCCUAUGUUACGCAUUCACCAAUCCAUAUUGAAUCUGUCUCCAAGUCCUAAAGUCUAGCUAAGUCCAAUCUUGUAAUAUCAAGCCCUCAACAACUUCGUAAAGCUUUCUAAUAUUUCACCAAACGUCAUAACCAUUUUAGAAUAACUUAAUGUAGCUGGAAACCUAACAUGCAUGUCAACCUGGUGUUUGAGAUCCAUCUCAUUAUCUAUCCCAACAUUUUCUGACAACUCAAAAUUUCCCCACCAAAGCUAAAAAAUAGAGAAUUAACAAGGAGUUUAUACCCAAAGGAAAAUCAGGUCUUAAAAACAAUG
rnacentral:misc_RNA from 1 species